UGCUAUCAAAAAGUCGCCGAACAUGAGAACAAUAGAACAAAAGAAUUACAAACAAAAGAACAAUAUAGCCGAUUCUAUUGUUCUAUUGUUAGUUAUUCUUUUGUUCUAUUGUUCUCGUGUUCGGCGACUUUUUGAUAGCACGGUAUAUUGACUUCCUGAGACUACUAUAGUACG